rnacentral:tRNA from 2 species
GGAUAUAGUUUAAUGGUAGAAUAGCGGUCUCCAAAACCGUUGAUGGGGGUUCGAUUCCCUCUAUCCC